rnacentral:rRNA from 1 species
UACGUAGGGCGCAAGCGUUGUCCGGAAUUAUUGGGCGUAAAGAGCUCGUAGGCGGUUUGUCGCGUCUGGUGUGAAAACUCAAGGCUCAACCUUGAGCUUGCAUCGGGUACGGGCAGACUAGAGUUCGGCAGGGGAGACUGGAAUUCCUGGUGUAGCGGUGAAAUGCGCAGAUAUCAGGAGGAACACCGAUGGCGAAGGCAGGUCUCUGGGCCGCAACUGACGCUGAGGAGCGAAAGCAUGGGGAGCGAACAGG